GCUGGGCAUGGUGGUGCAUGCCUGUAGUCCCAGAGAUUCAGGAGGCUGAGGCAGGAGAAUUGCAAAUUAAAGGCCAGUCUCUGCAACUUAGUGAGAUCCUGUCUCAA
rnacentral:sRNA from 1 species